rnacentral:tRNA from 1 species
GCCUGGGUGGCUCAGUCAGUUGAGCAUCCGACUUCGGCUCAGGUCACGAUCUCACAGUUUGUGGGUUCGAGUCCCGCAUCAGGCU